CACAUGUAAGUCGAACGGACGAGAAAGAAGCUUGCUCUUCGAGUUAGUGGCGGACGGGUGAGUAACACGUGAGUAACCUGCCUUUUUGAGGGGGAUAACGUUUGGAAACGAACGCUAAUACCGCAUAAUAUAUAUUGUACGCAUGUACGAUAUAUCAAAGGAGCAAUCCGCAGAAAGAUGGACUCGCGUCUGAUUAGCUAGUUGGUGAGGUAAUGGCCCACCAAGGCGACGAUCAGUAGCCGGACUGAGAGGUUGAACGGCCACAUUGGGACUGAGACACGGCCCAGACUCCUACGGGAGGCAGCAGUGGGGAAUAUUGCACAAUGGGGGAAACCCUGAUGCAGCGAUGCCGCGUGGAGGAAGAAGGUUUUCGGAUUGUAAACUCCUGUCUUCAGGGACGAUAAUGACGGUACCUGAGGAGGAAGCACCGGCUAACUACGUGCCAGCAGCUGC
rnacentral:rRNA from 1 species